rnacentral:pre_miRNA from 1 species
CCAUGAAUCCCUUGGGGAUCUUGCUAAAAUGCAGAUUCUGAUCCAGCAGGUCUGAGGUGGGCCUGAGAUUCUUCAUUUCUAACCAGCUCCCAGGUGAUGCUGAU